rnacentral:rRNA from 1 species
UACGUAGGGCGCAAGCGUUGUCCGGAAUUAUUGGGCGUAAAGAGCUCGUAGGCGGCUUGUCACGUCGAUUGUGAAAGCCCGAGGCUUAACCUCGGGUCUGCAGUCGAUACGGGCUAGCUAGAGUGUGGUAGGGGAGAUCGGAAUUCCUGGUGUAGCGGUGAAAUGCGCAGAUAUCAGGAGGAACACCGGUGGCGAAGGCGGAUCUCUGGGCCAUUACUGACGCUGAGGAGCGAAAGCGUGGGGAGCAAACAGG